GAUGAACGCUGGCGGCGUGCUUAACACAUGCAAGUCGAACGGUGAAGCAGAGCUUGCUCUGUGGAUCAGUGGCGAACGGGUGAGUAACACGUGAGCAACCUGCCCCUGACUCUGGGAUAAGCGCUGGAAACGGCGUCUAAUACUGGAUAUGAGCUGCGACCGCAUGGUCAGCAGUUGGAAAGAUUUUUCGGCCUGGGAUGGGCUCACGGCCUAUCAGCUUGUUGGUGAGGUAAUGGCUCACCAAGGCGUCGACGGGUAGCCGGCCUGAGAGGGUGACCGGCCACACUGGGACUGAGACACGGCCCAGACUCCUACGGGAGGCAGCAGUGGGGAAUAUUGCACAAUGGGCGAAAGCCUGAUGCAGCAACGCCGCGUGAGGGAUGACGGCCUUCGGGUUGUAAACCUCUUUUAGCAGGGAAGAAGCGAAAGUGACGGUACCUGCAGAAAAAGCGCCGGCUAACUACGU
rnacentral:rRNA from 1 species